rnacentral:rRNA from 1 species
UACGGAGGGUGCAAGCGUUGUUCGGAAUUACUGGGCGUAAAGCGCGGGUAGGCGGCUUCGUAAGUCUGGUGUGAAAGCCCGGGGCUCACCCCCGGAAGUGCACUGGAAACUGCAAGGCUCGAGUACCGGAGAGGGGGGUGGAAUUCCUGGUGUAGCGGUGAAAUGCGUAGAUAUCAGGAGGAACACCGGUGGCGAAGGCGGCCCUCUGGACGGAUACUGACGCUGAGGCGCGAAAGCGUGGGGAGCAAACAGG